ACACGGAUGCCAAACCAGUUGACAGAGAGAAGUCCUCAUCCACAACCGAUAGAGAUGCAUAUGACUCUACCGAUCCCUACUGCAUACACCACUCAGAUCAUCCCGCCAUGGUAUUGGCUUCCAUGACACUGACCGGUGAUAACUACAGCACUUGGAGUCGUAAAGUACGAAUUUCCUUGAGUGCGAAAAACAAAACAGGCUUUAUUGAUGGGUCCAUUGUGAAGCCAUCCCUCCCCAAAAAACCUACAGAGUAUCAACGAUGGCAGAGGUGUAACGACAUGAUCUUGUCGUGGAUUCUCAAUUCUUUGGAUCCUGACCUUGCUAAUAGUGUUAUUUAUGCUGAGACAGCUCAUGAAGUAUGGACUGAUUUAAAAGAACGAUUUUCACAAAGCAACGCUCUUAGGAUUUUUCAGAUUCAACGCACCUAGGAUUUUUCAGAUUCAACGCAGCAUAGCAACACAUACGCAAGAUCAGAUGCCUCUGGCAACAUAUUAUUCAAAACUAAAGAGCUAUUGGGACGAACUGGGUUCCUACAAUGAUACAGAAGUUUGCUCCUGUGGAGCAAAGAAGUCGUUGGCCAAGCGCGAGGAACAACAACGCUUGAUGCAAUUUUUGAUGGGACUAAAUGAAUCCUAUGCAGCGAUCCGAGGGCAGAUUCUCCUUAUGGAGCCCUUGCCAUCAGUUAGAAGGGCAUAUUCCCUACUUUCA
rnacentral:lncRNA from 1 species